rnacentral:rRNA from 1 species
AUGGCUCCUCCUGCUGAACCUCCUACUGUACCUACAAAUCUAAGGGCACCAUUGUGGAGCCAUGUUCAAAUCAUAGAGAAAUCACCUGGAGGGGGCAACACUAAAUGGAAAUGUGACUACUGUGGUCAUGAAGCUUUGAGUAGCUACUCUAGAGUUUCUGCUCAUUUGCUAAAGAAGACAGGGAACCAUGGAAUCCAUGCAUGUAAAAAGGCCACGGUUGACAUUCUGAAUCCCUUUUUUAAAAAAAGUAGUAAAACGUAUCCGUAUUGGCACUUUUUCAAAAUGACGAAUUUACGUAUCCGUAUUGGCCCGAUACUGAUACCCGUAUCCGUAUCGGUGCAUUCGAGAUGCAGAGCAUAUACUGAUACUUCAGAUGUAACAAAAUAA